GGAGAGCUGGCCGAGUGGCCUAAGGCGGCGGAUUGCUAAUCCGUAGCAGGGGUAAUAACCCUUGCCGGGAGUUCGAAUCUCCCGCUCUCCG
rnacentral:tRNA from 1 species